GGGAGUUUAGCAUAAUCGGUUAAUGCCCUAAGUUGUCAAUUUAGUCUAUGCCAGUUCAAGUCUGGUAGCUCUCA
rnacentral:tRNA from 1 species